rnacentral:lncRNA from 1 species
UAGGAUAAUAACAGAAAUUAAAAGUUGAACAUAUGCAGUUUAUUUUGUCCAAAAUAUAAUUGUUGUUUCUCUGUGUUGGGAAAGGCUGUCUCCUGCAUGCAGUCCUGUGUGUGGACUCCAUUGGACCACAGAAGAAUGAGCCUUCAACCCGAACACUUCCUUACCAACAGAUAAAGAGCCUUCACAGCAUGUGCCGGGUUUAUCGCCUGGUAUGGGAAUAUCUUUUCCUGUUUCAGACUCUGUAUACUCCUUUAAUCUGCUUAAGCUCAUAUGUCAAUGGCCCUCAGACACACCUCCAGCUUUCUGUAUUUCAGACUGCAUGGGAAGGGGGAGGGGUCCCUCUAUUGCAGCACAAAGUGGGGUGGGUGCAGCUAACUCCCCACAUAGCAUAGCUGUGAAGUGGAUCCAGUGGCCCUGAGGGACCAACACAAUGUAAGGAGCUGGACCUUGUGCACUCUUGCUCCUCUCUUGCUGCCUCCUUAUCUAACUUCUGCUCAGUCACCUCUGCAUUCUACCUGUAGAAAAGUGACUCAACAUCAUUCCAGAAGUCCGGAAUUCUACAAGAAUCAUAUUAGAAAGAGCCACUGUACUUGAAAGAAAGCAAUCAUCUCUGAGAGCUCUUCAAUUACAACGAAAUUGUCAGCUAGAUAGAAGGAAUUAAUACUAGUGUUUGAUACCACCUUACGAUGACUAUAGGAGAACAGUAUUCUAUUUAGCCAGCCACAACAUUUGAACAUCAUCUUUCGAAUCAAAGGCAAAAAGCAAAGAAAACCUCCAGCCAUGGCCCUGUGAAAAAUCAUCCAGAUGGAAAAUUUCUGUGAAAGAAACGUGCAACUACCACUCCAAUGUCUUACUUUAAGAAAAAUAAAC